rnacentral:rRNA from 1 species
UACGUAGGGACCAAGCGUUGUUCGGAUUUACUGGGCGUAAAGGGCGCGUAGGCGGCGUGGUAAGUCACUUGUGAAAUCUCUGAGCUUAACUCAGAACGGUCAAGUGAUACUGCUGUGCUAGAGUGCGGAAGGGGCAAUCGGAAUUCUUGGUGUAGCGGUGAAAUGCGUAGAUAUCAAGAGGAACACCUGAGGUGAAGACGGGUUGCUGGGCCGACACUGACGCUGAUGCGCGAAA